rnacentral:rRNA from 1 species
CCUACGGGUGGCAGCAGUCGAGAAUCAUUCACAAUGGGGGAAACCCUGAUGGUGCGACGCCGCGUGGGGGAAUGAAGGUCUUCGGAUUGUAAACCCCUGUCAUGUGGGAGCAAAUUAAAAAGAUAGUACCACAAGAGGAAGAGACGGCUAACUCUGUGCCAGCAGCCGCGGUAAUACAGAGGUCUCAAGCGUUGUUCGGAAUCACUGGGCGUAAGGCGUGCGUAGGCUGUUUCGUAAGGCGUGUGUGAAAGGCGCGGGCUCAACCCGCGGACGGCACAUGAUACUGCGAGACUAGAGUAAUGGAGGGGGAACCGGAAUUCUCGGUGUAGCAGUGAAAUGCGUAGAUAUCGAGAGGAACACUCGUGGCGAAGGCGGGUUCCUGGACAUUAACUGACGCUGAGGCACGAAGGCCAGGGGAGCGAAAGGGAUUAGAUACCCUAGUAGUC